UACGUAGGGUGCAAGCGUUGUCCGGAAUUAUUGGGCGUAAAGAGCUCGUAGGCGGUCUGUUGCGUCGGCUGUGAAAACCCGAGGCUCAACCUCGGGCCUGCAGCCGAUACGGGCAGACUAGAGUUCGGCAGGGGAGACUGGAAUUCCUGGUGUAGCGGUGAAAUGCGUAGAUAUCAAGAGGAACACCUGAGGUGAAGACGGGUUGCUGGGCCGACACUGACGGCUGAUGCGGCGAAAGCCAGGGGAGCAAACGGG
rnacentral:rRNA from 1 species